AUCCGCGCCCCUAUCCGGCGCGGGCCGCUGCGGAAACGCAGCUCUCCACCCCCAGCUGGCUCUCCCGGACCCCCUGGGCCCCACCCUCAGCGCUCCCCACCGCUCGGCGCCCCUGCGUCUGCGCUCCCCUCUCUCCCCUCUCUAUCCACUGGGUCUGGGCCGCACUUCCCGCCCACCCGCCUGCCAGCGGCCGGGAAGCCUGUGGAAGUUAUGGGGAUGCAGGGAGAGGGGGAGAGGGGAGCUUGUGUGCUAGGGUCUGCAAAGCUCGUCUGCAUCAGACAGGAAUUUUCCCCAGACGCGGGUGCACGUGAAUUAAUUCAUCAGAAGGCGGUUCACGGCCUGAGUGAGGGGGACGAGGGCGGCGAAUUCCUCCGCCUCAUUCCUACCCUGACGAUUCGAGCCUUAGCAAGUUCUGGCCUGUGGAGCCGUCAUCCAGAGCGCACAGCUUCAUGCCCUUGAAGGGCGCAGUGUGUCCCGUGGUGCCCGGUGGGCCCGGACAGAGACCCCAGAGGCUCUGUCUGAAGGAAGCUGCACCCACAGACUCCAUCCAGGCAGCGCGGGCGCGGUCCUGUCGCCUACCUUUCUCGGAAGCCAUCUGCCCAUGUGAAUCUAUGUGAAGGCCCUUCAUGCGCUCCUGGACAUCUGCGUGGGAUUUACUUCAACUGCUAUCGCUGCGAGGAGGACGAGCAUGUUUCACUGUAUUUUUAGCAGAGAGUGCAGAUUUUAGAACCUCGCGAACGGUCCUGUAUCUCCUGCACGAUGACUCUCCAGAACAGGAAUAGUGACCCUUCCUUUGCAUUUAUGGUGCAUAGGUUUUCAAAGGACAGUGUGUAAAUCAGCUUGUGUAAUAAUUGUGGCACCCACGCGCGCAAGCAGACUUACCAUGAGCUGACUUCCACUGAUUAUUUCAGUUUCCAGGGAAACGAGGUUUGCAGCCCCCUCCAGUGAGGGCGGAGCGGCCUCUCCAUUCCCAAUGCAGCAAGGCUGCUGCAGCCACGAUGAUUAGGCUUUGGAGGAGGAAGUGAACGGAUGGGGCCUCAUCCUCCUGCCUCCCUAAAGGGUGAGGGUGGAAGGAUGGGGCUGUGCCCUCUUAGGGCAGGGAAAAACAGCUUGGAGGGGUUUCUGCCAUCAGAGAUCCCAUAGGAGGCAGGUCAGUCCUGCAGAAUUUCUCCCCAGUCUGGCCUCCAGCCUCCCUGGCCCCUUUCUAGAGGCCUCCAUCCCACUGGCGGCUUGCUCCUGCCACCGGGCCUCUGCACAG
rnacentral:lncRNA from 1 species